AUGAAAACAAGGCUGAAGAGAGCGGCGUGUUUAGAGCAGGAGGUUUUUGUACAGCCAGUAAACGAGUUUGUAUCACUGUGGAGGACUUUUGGUGGAGGAACCAAACUGUCAGUUGGACGUUUGGCCCAGCCCACCCUCACGGUCCUGCCCCCCUCCAGCGUGGAGCUGCAGCAGGGGAAGGCCACACUGGUGUGUUUGGCCAAUAAGGGCUUCCCCUCAGACUGGACGCUGAGCUGGAAGGUGGACGGGAGCAGCUGGAGCGCGGGGGUUAGCCAGAGCCCCGGGCUUCUGCAGAAGGACGACGGCCUCUACAGCUGGAGCAGCACCCUGACCCUCCAGGAGGACCAGUGGCUAACGAAGAAGACAGUGACCUGUGAGGCCACCAAGGACUCCCAGACUCCUGUCAGCAAAUCACUGAGCAGAGAGCAAUGCACUGGGCAGUGAGCGUCCACGCGUGUGUUGGAGCUGCUAGAGCUCCUCUUGAUCUUCAGUGAGCUCAAACAUGGCUCUGCUUAAUGCUCUGAUCUUCAUCUCAUCAUUUCAUCAUCACAAUAAAGAGUUUCAGUAUAAAUAUCUUCAGUCUUUCAUUGAUUAUUGUGUUAUUUUCUUUUUCCUGAAACAGCAACAAUAAACAUAUAAACAUUUUUUGAUGUAUAAUUUACUGGAAACAAGUCUGUUCAUUUCUUUAAAAAUUAAAGCAUUUCGAUUGGAAUAACUGCAGUGUUUCAUCUUUUCUGUCAUGAUAUUGGAGGAUCUAUCAGAAUAAACAACAUGAGACACAAUGAUUAAGUUCAUAAGAAAUGUAUUUGUUGUUGUUAAUUUUUUCCAGUGUCAGAGAUUCAAAAAAAAGGUCAAACAAAUGAAGAAUUAAUUAAGACAAUAUUUUUUUAUAUUGGGUAACAAAUGCAUGAAUAUACAACAUUAUUUUUUUAACCAAUCAUAAUAAAUGUUAACGGUUUCUAAAAUUUUCCAUUUCUAUGAAAUGGAACAAUGAUCAAACAAAUGAACAAAUGAGUAAAUAAAUAAAUAAAUAAAUAAAUAAAUAGCUC